AGCCCCGGCUAACUACGUGCCAGCAGCCGCGGUAAUACGUAGGGGGCGAGCGUUAUCCGAAUUUAUUGGGCGUAAAGCGUGUGUAGGCGGUUUGUUAAGUUUAAGAUUAAAGCCCGGGGCUCAACUCCGGUUCGUCUUAAAAACUGGCAGACUUGAGUGUGGUAGAGGUAAAUGGAAUUUCUAGUGUAGCGGUGGAAUGCGUAGAUAUUAGAAGGAACACCAGUGGCGAAGGCGAUUUACUGGGCCAUUACUGACGCUGAGACACGAAAGCGUGGGGAGCAAAUAGGAUUAGAUACCCUAGUAGUCCACGCCGUAAACGAUGAGUACUAAGUGUUGGAUUUUCCAGUGCUGUAGCUAACGUAUUAAGUACUCCGCCUGAGUAGUACGGCCGCAAGGCUGAAACUCAAAGGAAUUGACGGGCACCCGCACAAGCGGUGGAGCAUGCUGUUUAAUUCGAUGAUACGCGAAGAACCUUACCUAGACUUGACAUCCCUGGCAAAGCUAUAGAAAUAUAGUGGAGGUUACCCAGGUGACAGGUGGUGCAUGGUUGUCGUCAGCUCGUGUCGUGAGAUGUUCGGUUAAGUCCGAUAACGAGCGCAACCCUUAUCCUUAGUUGCUAACAUUUAGUUGAGAACCCUAAGGAGACUGCCGGUGAUAAACCGGAGGAAGGUGGGGAUGACGUCAAAUCAUCAUGCCCCUUACGUCUAGGGCUACAGGCGUGCUAUAAUGGCCG
rnacentral:rRNA from 1 species